rnacentral:rRNA from 1 species
CUGGUAGUCCACGCUGUAAACGAUGUCGAUUUGGAGGUUGUGCCCUUGAGGCGUGGCUUCCGGAGCUAACGCGUUAAAUCGACCGCCUGGGGAGUACGGCCGCAAGGUUAAAACUCAAAUGAAUUGACGGGGGCCCGCACAAGCGGUGGAGCAUGUGGUUUAAUUCGAUGCAACGCGAAGAACCUUACCUACUCUUGACAUCCAGAGAACUUAGCAGAGAUGCUUUGGUGCCUUCGGGAACUCUGAGACAGGUGCUGCAUGGCUGUCGUCAGCUCGUGUUGUGAAAUGUUGGGUUAAGUCCCGCAACGAGCGCAACCCUUAUCCUUUGUUGCCAGCGGUUCGGCCGGGAACUCAAAGGAGACUGCCAGUGAUAAACUGGAGGAAGGUGGGGAUGACGUCAAGUCAUCAUGGCCCUUACGAGUAGGGCUACACACGUGCUACAAUGGCAUAUACAAAGAGAAGCGACCUCGCGAGAGCAAGCGGACCUCAUAAAGUAUGUCGUAGUCCGGAUUGGAGUCUGCAACUCGACUCCAUGAAGUCGGAAUCGCUAGUAAUCGUAGAUCAGAAUGCUACGGUGAAUACGUUCCCGGGCCUUGUACACACCGCCCGUCACACCAUGGGAGUGGGUUGCAAAAGAAGUAGGUAGCUUAACCUUCGGGAGGGCGCUUACCACUUUGUGAUUCAUGACUGGGGUGAAGUCGUAACAAGGUACCAAGGGCGAA